rnacentral:tRNA from 1 species
AAGUAUAGGGAGUUUUGAUCUCUCUGGUAUAGGUUCAAUUCCUAUUUUUCUAA